AUGACGAAAACUUCUUUUCACAGGAUCACCUUCGAUGUCACCACGGCACCCAGACUUCGUGCCAACAUUGUUCACAUUUGUUAACAAUCAGGAUAAACAGACCCGCGGUUUACGUCGUUUUCAACGUGCGAUGAAGAGUUCAGCAAAGCGUCCCCAGCAAGGGGCUGCAUCACCAGGUGUGCUUUCUGCAUCGACACAUAGUGACGAAGGGGCUGCAUCACCAGGUGUGCUUUCUGCAUCGACACAUAGUGACGAAGG